UAUGUGGAGAUCACAUCAAAUGAUGUGGCACCAAGUUUCUUUAAAAUUUUUCGUACCGUUGACCAUACUUCUCUCUGUAAUUAUCUCGCCAGCUUCCUUCUUGGGGUUUUGAUCCCUUUGAACCCUUCAGAAUCCCAUUAUUCAUAUAUAUUGUUUUCUUUUACGUAGAAACUUAAACAAGUAGACGAACUGCUCACUGUUCCUUUUCCUCCUGAGAAUUUGGAUUAAUCCCCAACCCAUUUUCUUCUUCCAAGAAACAGAGCUCGCAGACAACAGAAACAGUAUCGAAAACAGCUUUCUUCCUAAAAUGGUGACGAAGACUGUCGAUCUUCGUUCAGACACCGUCACCAAACCAACCGAAGCGAUGAGGGCUGCGAUGGCGAGCGCCGAGGUUGAUGAUGAUGUAUUGAAAUAUGACCCAACUGCCCUCCGUUUAGAAACAGAAAUGGCUAAGAUCAUGGGGAAGGAGGCGGCUCUUUUUGUGCCUUCCGGCACUAUGGGGAACCUCAUUAGUGUUCUUGUUCAUUGUGAGAUUAGGGGCUCUGAGGUUAUUCUUGGGGAUAAUUCUCAUAUCCAUAUUUAUGAGAAUGGAGGUAUUGCAACUAUUGGAGGGGUUCAUCCUAGGACUGUUAGGAAUAAUGGAGAUGGAACUAUGGACUUGGAUUUGAUUGAAGCUGCCAUUAGAGACCCUAGAGGAGAGCUUGUGUUUCCAACUACUAGGCUUAUCUGCUUGGAAAACUCACAUGCUAACUGUGGAGGUAGAUGCCUCUCUGUGGAGUAUACAGACAGGGUUGGAGAAUUAGCUAAGAAGCAUGGCUUGAAGCUUCACAUUGAUGGUGCUCGUAUUUUCAAUGCCUCAGUUGCACUUGGCGUUCCUGUUAACAGGCUUGUGCAAGCAGCUGAUUCUGUAUCGGUAUGUCUAUCUAAGGGUUUGGGAGCUCCUGUUGGCUCUGUCAUCGUUGGUUCAAAAGCAUUCAUUACCAAGGCAAGACGGCUGAGGAAAACAUUGGGAGGUGGGAUGAGACAGGUUGGUAUUCUUUGUGCUGCAGCAUUGGUUGCAAUACAAGAGAAUAUUGUGAAACUUGAGGGAGAUCAUGAGAAUGCUAAGAUUUUGGCUGAUGGAUUAAAGGAAAUCAAAGGAUUGCAAGUGGAAAGCCAUUUGGUUGAAACAAAUAUAAUAUUUGUAGAUAUAAAAAAAGACUCAACAAUAACAGGGGAAAAGCUAGGCGAAAUCUUGGAAGAACAUGGCAUACUUUUAUUGCCAGAAAGUUCAUCAAGGGUUAGAAUUGUUCUUCACCACCAAAUUUCAGCAACCGACAUACAAUACACCUUAUCCUGUUUCCAGUUGAAACUUAACAUAGAACACAUAUUUUGUUCCUUUUUUUGACCGGUGGAUAUCUCAUAUCUGAAUGAAACAAGUGUUUUAACGUCAUUUAUUGGACGACAAGCAAUGACUGGAGCAAUUACAAAUGAAAAUGGCGUGUAGAUAAACGACACCCGUUCUCGAGUCGAUGUAAUUUCUCUGUGCUCUGUAAAUAGUUUGUAUAUAAAAGAUUAAUCUCUGAAGCAUCAUUACAGUAAACUAUCUUCACAUUGGUGUUAUGAACUUGUUUUAAGAGUAACUCAGAAGUUGUUUGUUGUUUCCCCCUUUAUCAAUGGUGUUUACUUUAAUCAAAA